CCCCCUCCCCGUUUUGAUUUUUCGCCAGAUUUCAGACGGCGAGAACUCCGCCGUCCGACCUCCGUUUGAGGCGCCGUUUCUUGCAAAAGCUUCAUCUCUUCCUCCUCUACCCAGCCCACCCCUUUUCUCCGAUCGAAAACCCAGCAAACGGCGGUGGCGACGACGUGAAACCCAGCUGAAACUGCCGACGUCGCCGGCGACGUUUCCGGCCAUCUCGAGCUGCGCCGUCACUUGGAACAGGUAGCUCUCCUUCCCUUCUAGCUAUUUCCUGGGUUGCGCGACGACCAUGGUGACGGUGGUCGUCGGAUCGAGGCCGUGAAGUUCCGGGUUAAACCGCGAACUUCCGACGCCGAUUCCGGCCACUUGCCAUCCGAAUUGGACUUGGGUGUAGUUGAAUAAAGUGUUCCACUUGUCGAGUAGAAUCUGUAGCCGGA
rnacentral:lncRNA from 1 species